CACACCAUGUUAAAAAGACUCCCGCUGCCCAGCGACCCCACAGAUCUGGCACUGAGAUAACUCGGUUCCUGCAGCUCAGUGCUCUGUACCCAUCUGGGCUUGUGUAAACUUCUUGUGUAGUUGUGACUGCAGACGUGGCACCUCUAACCAAACCCUUUCCAGACACCAAAGAUUCUACAUAAAAUAACUCAGUGACUCUUAGCCUCAGAGCCAUAUGCUCAACAGUAGGAGCAGGGGCCUGUUCUGUCCUCUAAGGAUGGCCAGGGAACUUUCGAUGAACACAGUGGGCAAGCACAGACCUCGGUCCUAGAUCCGACAUCUCAGAACACGCUCUGGACUGGCAAUGCCCCAGGAUUCAUUGAACGGAUGCCACGGGCUCUGUAGUCACGGUUGGUGGGCUGAGACUUACGAGUUAACAUCUUAACAAGUUACUGCAUUGCUUCCUAGAUGUUUGAAUGCCGUCGUUCCAACUCUGAAUACUGCUUAAGUUGUUCUUGCGAACCUUGAUGGACUCACCUGCCCGUGAAUAGAAAGUCUGGUGCUCUGAACAGUUCCAGGGAUGAGCUGAGCUCCCGUUUCCGGUGGCCAGUUACAGCUGCCGUGGCUGCCCCCCUCACCAUUCUGGACGCCUUCUCUCUAGAACCGGAAGCUCAGAUAACACCCUUUAUUCUAGCACAGGGCCUGGGGAAGACAGUCUCCUUAGCGAGCAGAAAAGCUUCACCUGCAGGACGUUCAGAGCCAUGCAACAUUCCUGGUUUUGGCCAGGGUAGGGUACGUGUCCUUAAUCCCAGCACGUAGGAGGGAGGCAAGAAGCCCAGGAGUUUCAGGCAAUACUCAGUUGCAUGGCGAGUUCCAGGACAGACGGGUUUAGGAUGGACUCUUGGAACAAAAGUAACGAAAAGGAGAGGCCUGGCUGGUAGGAUCUACUGAAGAGGAAGCGGCAGGAGGAUUAUGAGUUCAAGGCUAGCUUGGACUGUACAUUGGUCUGGGAACGUGACUCAGCUGGCAAAGGUGCUUACCAACAAGCCUGGUGACCGGAGCUUGAUCCCCACCCCCCAGAACCCACAUGGUGGAAAGGGCAGAACUGACUCCUGUAUUAUACUGUGUGCGUGACCGCGACACAACCACACGGCCGCACCCGCAGCCUCCACCAGAGCUUUCUGAAAGGCUGUGUCACCUCCCAAAGGAAAUCUGUCCUCUUUGGGUCUCAUUUCCCAGCCAGUAGACGAGGGUGGUGAUCUCAGCCAUGACAAUGGGACCCGAUGGAAAUGCUCUGGCCCCGAUAAUGAGGCCUCAGUCCUAGGAGGACUCAGUGCGCCAGGUGGAGAGAGUCCGCACGGGACCGACGGCCCUGCUCUCUACGCGGCCCUGCA